CGCUGGCGGCGUGCUUAACACAUGCAAGUCGAACGGGGUUCUAUUUAAGCUUGCUUUAUGGAACCUAGUGGCAAACGGAUGAGUAACGCGUAGACAACCUGCCUUGAGAUGGGGACAACAGAUCGAAAGAUUGCUAAUACCGAAUGAAGCAGCAUUUUCGCAUGAAGGAGCUGUUAAAGGUGGCCUCUAUUUAUAAGCUACCACUUAAAGAUGGGUCUGCGUCUGAUUAGCUAGUUGGUGAGGUAACGGCUCACCAAGGCGACGAUCAGUAGCCGGUCUGAGAGGAUGAACGGCCAUAUUGGGACUGAGACACGGCCCAAACUCCUACGGGAGGCAGCAGUGGGGAAUCUUCCGCAAUGGGCGAAAGCCUGACGGAGCAACGCCGCGUGAGUGAAGAAGGUCUUCGGAUCGUAAAGCUCUGUUGUUGGGGACGAAUGUUACCUUUGAGAACAUUGGAGGUAAAUGACGGUACCUAACGAGGAAGCCACGGCUAACUACGUGCCAGCAGCGGC
rnacentral:rRNA from 1 species